AUUGUUUGGAGAGUUUGAUCCUGGCUCAGGACGAACGCUGGCGGCGUGCUUAACACAUGCAAGUCGAGCGGAAAGGCCCUUCGGGGUACUCGAGCGGCGAACGGGUGAGUAACACGUGAGUAACCUGCCCCUGACUCUGGGAUAAGCCUGGGAAACCGGGUCUAAUACCGGAUAUGACACUCCUC
rnacentral:rRNA from 1 species